rnacentral:lncRNA from 1 species
UUAGAAGGCAGCCAGGCACUUCUAACCUAAUUAGCGUUAGUCACCUCUGAAAAUAAAUCCCCUGAAUCCUGCAGCUCCAAAGUCACCCCCGCCCCCUCUACUCCUCCAUACCCACAAGCACCUGGUCAGAAUUGAGCAGCCCGACAGGAACCUUCCUGCCCUGACCCCCAGCAAACAGCGGUAAGAGGGAUUUGCCACGACCUUCCAGGAAAUCAGGUGCUAAUGAUAGAGAUCAAAGUGGAAGGAAAGGAGUGAAUUCUCCCUCCAGGUGCCAUAGAUGACAUCUUUUUAGAUGGAUCUUUUGUUUCGCCUUUAAGGAUUUACCCACUCCCUGAAUGAUAAGGAUCCUCCUAAUCAACUUUCUGAGCCCUGCUCAAGCACUACCUAUUUAUGAAGUCUUUCCUAGAAAUUUCUACCUGCAAUGUCUUAUUAAA